rnacentral:rRNA from 1 species
UACGGGGGGGGCAAGCGUUGUUCGGAAUUACUGGGCGUAAAGGGUUUGUAGGUGGUCUGUUAAGUCAGACGUGAAAUCCCUCAGCUUAACUGGGGAACUGCGUCUGAGACUGAUGGACUUGAGGGCAGGAGAGGAACGCGGAAUUCCAGGUGUAGCGGUGAAAUGCGUAGAUAUCUGGAGGAACACCGGUGGCGAAGGCGGCGUUCUGGACUGUUUCUGACACUGUAAAACGAAAGCCAGGGGAGCGAACGGG